GACGAACGCUGGCGGCGUGCUUAACACAUGCAAGUCGUACGGUAAGGCCCUUUCGGGGGUACACGAGUGGCGAACGGGUGAGUAACACGUGAGUAACCUGCCCACAACUUUGGGAUAACGCUAGGAAACUGGUGCUAAUACUGGAUAUGUGCUCCUGCUGCAUGGUGGGGGUUGGAAAGCUCCGGCGGUUGUGGAUGGACUCGCGGCCGAUCAGCUUGUUGGUGGGGUAGUGGCCUACCAAGGCGGCGACGGGUAGCCGGCCUGGGAGGGUGACGGGCCACAUUGGGACUGGGAUACGGCCCAGACUCCUACGGGAGGCAGCAGUGGGGAAUAUUGCACAAUGGGGGCAAGCCUGAUGCGGCAACGCCGCGGGCGGGAUGACGGCCUUCGGGUUGUAAACCGCUUUCAGCAGGGACGAAGCUUUUUGUGACGGUACCUGCAGAAGAAGCACCGGCUAACUACGUG
rnacentral:rRNA from 1 species